rnacentral:rRNA from 6 species
AAAUUGAAGAGUUUGAUCAUGGCUCAGAUUGAACGCUGGCGGCAGGCCUAACACAUGCAAGUCGAACGGUAACAGGAAGCAGCUUGCUGCUUCGCUGACGAGUGGCGGACGGGUGAGUAAUGUCUGGGAAACUGCCUGAUGGAGGGGGAUAACUACUGGAAACGGUGGCUAAUACCGCAUAACGUCGCAAGACCAAAGAGGGGGACCUUCGGGCCUCUUGCCAUCAGAUGUGCCCAGAUGGGAUUAGCUUGUUGGUGAGGUAACGGCUCACCAAGGCGACGAUCCCUAGCUGGUCUGAGAGGAUGACCAGCCACACUGGAACUGAGACACGGUCCAGACUCCUACGGGAGGCAGCAGUGGGGAAUAUUGCACAAUGGGCGCAAGCCUGAUGCAGCCAUGCCGCGUGUAUGAAGAAGGCCUUCGGGUUGUAAAGUACUUUCAGCGGGGAGGAAGGUGUUGUGGUUAAUAACCGCAGCAAUUGACGUUACCCGCAGAAGAAGCACCGGCUAACUCCGUGCCAGCAGCCGCGGUAAUACGGAGGGUGCAAGCGUUAAUCGGAAUUACUGGGCGUAAAGCGCACGCAGGCGGUCUGUCAAGUCGGAUGUGAAAUCCCCGGGCUCAACCUGGGAACUGCAUUCGAAACUGGCAGGCUUGAGUCUUGUAGAGGGGGGUAGAAUUCCAGGUGUAGCGGUGAAAUGCGUAGAGAUCUGGAGGAAUACCGGUGGCGAAGGCGGCCCCCUGGACAAAGACUGACGCUCAGGUGCGAAAGCGUGGGGAGCAAACAGGAUUAGAUACCCUGGUAGUCCACGCCGUAAACGAUGUCUACUUGGAGGUUGUGCCCUUGAGGCGUGGCUUCCGGAGCUAACGCGUUAAGUAGACCGCCUGGGGAGUACGGCCGCAAGGUUAAAACUCAAAUGAAUUGACGGGGGCCCGCACAAGCGGUGGAGCAUGUGGUUUAAUUCGAUGCAACGCGAAGAACCUUACCUGGUCUUGACAUCCACGGAAGUUUUCAGAGAUGAGAAUGUGCCUUCGGGAACCGUGAGACAGGUGCUGCAUGGCUGUCGUCAGCUCGUGUUGUGAAAUGUUGGGUUAAGUCCCGCAACGAGCGCAACCCUUAUCCUUUGUUGCCAGCGAUUCGGUCGGGAACUCAAAGGAGACUGCCAGUGAUAAACUGGAGGAAGGUGGGGAUGACGUCAAGUCAUCAUGGCCCUUACGACCAGGGCUACACACGUGCUACAAUGGCGCAUACAAAGAGAAGCGACCUCGCGAGAGCAAGCGGACCUCAUAAAGUGCGUCGUAGUCCGGAUUGGAGUCUGCAACUCGACUCCAUGAAGUCGGAAUCGCUAGUAAUCGUGGAUCAGAAUGCCACGGUGAAUACGUUCCCGGGCCUUGUACACACCGCCCGUCACACCAUGGGAGUGGGUUGCAAAAGAAGUAGGUAGCUUAACCUUCGGGAGGGCGCUUACCACUUUGUGAUUCAUGACUGGGGUGAAGUCGUAACAAGGUAACCGUAGGGGAACCUGCGGUUGGAUCACCUCCUUACCUUAAAGAAGC